rnacentral:rRNA from 1 species
UGAACGCUGGCGGCGUGCUUAACACAUGCAAGUCGUACGAGAACACCCUAGCUUGCUAGGGUAAGUAAAGUGGCGCACGGGUGAGUAACGCGUGGGUAAUCUACCUUCGAAUUGGGGAUAACGUUGCGAAAGCGACGCUAAUACCGAAUAACAUCCAUUAAUCUUCGGGUUUUUGGAUCAAGGGUGGCCUCUACAUGUAAGCUACUGUUUGAAGAUGAGCCCGCGUACCAUUAGCUUGUUGGUGGGGUAAUGGCCUACCAAGGCAGCGAUGGUUAGCUGGUCUGAGAGGAUGAUCAGCCACACUGGAACUGACACACGGUCCAGACUCCUACGGGAGGCAGCAGUGAGGAAUUUUGCGCAAUGGGGGAAACCCUGACGCAGCAACGCCGCGUGAGUGAUGAAGGCUUUCGGGUCGUAAAGCUCUGUCAAGUGGGAAGAACCUGCAGUAUGCCAAUAUCAUAUUGCACUGACGGUACCACUGAAGGAAGCACCGGCUAACUCC